rnacentral:lncRNA from 1 species
UCUCUCUCCCUUCCUCCCUCCUUUCCUUCCUUCUUGCCUUCCUCCCUCUUGUUUCCUCCCUUCUCAGGUACUCAGUUAUUUCUGAGUAUUGCUCUGUGCCUGGCACUGUGCUGUACAUUGAGGAUAUGAAGAUGAGUAAGUCUCAGUCUAUAUCUUUAGAGACCUCACAGCCUGGAAGGAGAGUUAAAAAAUAAUUGCUAUUCAACAUGGCAAUGGUUAUAAAGGAGCAGAUUUUCCAAACUGGUGUUUCAAGGAACAUUCUUUGGCAGGAUGUUAAAAAUGGGAAACAGCAAGCCUGAAAAAGGAAAUUGACGAAGAAACAACUUGGUUAUUCUUGACUCAGUGGCCAAGGAGGGAACACAGCCCAGAAUCUAAAAGUGACGCAGUUGGCAGAGCUGUGUGGUGCGGUGCUGGUUCCCAGGAACACAGCAAGAGGCACUUUACUGAGGGAACGCUGCGUGCCUGCAACUCUGCGUGGGAGACUUCAGCCACAAGUGGGUUUUUGUCUGUGUGUAAGUGCCAUUGAGUGAACCCAAGAAGGGAACAAACAAACCAGCCCUGAAUCUUUCUAGCACAUCUUCAGCUUUGCUCUCUUAUAUAUAGGAAAUGAGGGACAGUGCUUGGAGAACCUGCAGGAAAACUAAUCUAAAAGCCAGUCC